CCUACGAGAGGCAGCAGUGAGGAAUAUUGGGCAAUGGAGGCAACUCUGACCCAGCCAUGCCGCGUGAGUGAAGAAGGUCUUCGGAUUGUAAAGCUCUUUCGGAUGUGACGAUGAUGACGGUAGCAUCUAAAGAAGCCCCGGCUAACUUCGUGCCAGCAGCCGCGGUAAUACGAAGGGGGCAAGCGUUGUUCGGAAUUACUGGGCGUAAAGGGAGUGUAGGCGGUUUAGUAAGAUAGUGGUGAAAUCCCAGGGCUUAACUUUGGAAUUGCCAUUAUAACUAUUAGACUAGAAUUACAGAGAGGAUAGUGGAAUACCCAGUGUAGAGGUGAAAUUCGUAGAUAUUGGGUAGAACACCAGUGGCGAAGGCGACUAUCUGGCUGUACAUUGACGCCGAGGCUCGAAAGCAUGGGGAUCGGACGGGAGUUGAAGCAGGAAUGGCG
rnacentral:rRNA from 1 species